AGGACGAACGCUGGCGGCGUGCUUAACACAUGCAAGUCGAGCGGAAAGGCCCUUCGGGGUACUCGAGCGGCGAACGGGUGAGUAACACGUGAGCAACCUGCCCUUAGCUCCGGGAUAGCUCCGGGAAACCGGAAUUAAUACCGGAUACGACCACGGCCGACAUCUGCUGUGGUGGAAAGGAUUCCGGCUAAGGAUGGGCUCGCGGCCUAUCAGCUAGUUGGUGGAGUAACGGCCCACCAAGGCGACGACGGGUAGCCGGCCUGAGAGGGCGACAGGCCACACUGGGACUGAGACACGGCCCAGACUCCUACGGGAGGCAGCAGUGGGGAAUAUUGCGCAAUGGGCGAAAGCCUGACGCAGCGACGCCGCGUGGGGGAUGAAGGCCUUCGGGUUGUAAACCCCUUUCAGCAGGGACGAAGCGAAAGUGACGGUACCUGCAGAAGAGCGCCGGCUAACUACGUGCCAGCAGCCGC
rnacentral:rRNA from 1 species